rnacentral:rRNA from 1 species
CACGUAGGGUGCGAGCGUUGUCCGGAAUUAUUGGGCGUAAAGAGCUCGUAGGCGGUGUGUCGCGUCGGCCGUGAAAACCUGCAGCUUAACUGUGGGCUUGCGGUCGAUACGGGCAUCACUGGAGUUCGGCAGGGGAGACUGGAAUUCCUGGUGUAGCGGUGAAAUGCGUAGAUAUCGGGAGGAACACCAGUGGCGAAGGCGACUACCUGGCCUGUUCUUGACGCUGAGGCGCGAAAGCUAGGGAGCAAACGGG